rnacentral:rRNA from 1 species
GAGACUCUGUGCGCGUGCAUAUCAAUAAGCGGAGGAAAAGAAACUAACAAGGAUUCCCUUAGUAACGGCGAGUGAAGCGGGAAGAGCUCAAAUUUGAAAUCUUCAAGGUUCUACCUUGACGAAUUGUAGUUUAUAGAAGCGUUUUCUGUUAGUAGAGUGGCAAAAGUUCUUUGGAAUAGGACAUCAUAGAGGGUGAGAAUCCCGUAUUUGGUCAUUCUUUCUAGCUUUGUGAUACACUUUCAACGAGUCGGAUUGUUUGGGAAUGCAGUCCAAAAUGGGUGGUAAAUUUCAUCUAAAGCUAAAUAUUGGCGAGAGACCGAUAGCGAACAAGUACCGUGAGGGAAAGAUGAAAAGAACUUUGAAAAGAGAGUUAAACAGUACGUGAAAUUGUCAAAAGGGGAGCGUUUGACACCAGUGUUGUUUUUCCGAAAAUCAAUUACGAAUGUUUUGUUUUUGAGAAGUUAUGACUUCAUCGGCUUGCUCCUUUCUUUACGAAACUUUCUUAAUGCACUUUUCGGUUAACAAGUCAACAUCAAUUUCUUUUGUUGUAAAAGGGUAUGAGGAAGGUGGCCUUCUUUUCGGAGAAAGUGUUUAUAGCCUUGUGCCUCUGCAAUCGGAGAGAUUGAGGUCUGCAGCGUAGAUCCUUCGGGGUUAGAUACGUUUGUGCUAAGUUAUAGCUUUUCAUAGACAACUUGUUGACUAUGUUUAGUCUUGUAGCUUACUCGCUGAUGCUAUUUUACCUACGCUUAGGAUGUUGACAGCAGUAUAGACUGU